AGUUAAAUCAAUCAAUCAAGAUAUGCACAGUAUAGGUCCUUUUACAGAAAAAUUUAAAUUCCCACAACACUACAGGUUUUCAGAGUCAAGCAUUCAAUGGAAUGGUGAAUAAUGAAUUUCAUUCUGGUGAUUACCUCGAGGCAGGGAUUGAAGGUAAGAG